UUAACACUUUGACAGCUAAGUAUUUUAUUUAUUUCCAAUCUCUGACAGCCGAUCACGUCCCCUGUCCGUGACAGUUUUUUUUGUUAGAGACGCUGAUCUCGUACUGCGUACGUGUGUGAAUUUCAAUACUGUUUACUUUAAAACAACGGCCUGUAAGCGUGAUCCGCGUCAUGUCAAAGCUUAGAUGAAUGUUUUGGCUACACACACAAACGCACUUCAAAUACUUGCGGUGUGUGGGGUGCGGGAAACAAAGGAUCGCACGAGCCGGGUCGACACUCGACUCUCGCGCGCCAGUUGCCUAAGCGAUCGAGACGUGUGACAAUUUUUGGCGCGAAAUGACUUCGCGACGACGAUUUCGUCUGGAUUCGGAAAGAGAAACUAGAGAUAUUAUUGACAUUUUGCAAAAUGAUGAGGAUUCGGAUAUUGAGGAGAACACCACGAUAAUAGAAACUGAAGAGGCAAUAGACGAGUUUAGAGCCGGUCAAGAACAAUUAGAAGUUAGUGAUGAGGACAUACCCGAGCAGGAACAUACCAGAAGACAUACCAAGCACCGAUAAGGACAAGGGGGCGGUCAAGGAUUAGAAGAACAGGUCUAGUCUUACUGCCCAGAUUGCAACGUGCCCUUGUGUUAUGACCCGUGCUUCAAAAAAUACCACACCAGGAAAGACUACACGUCAUAAAAUUCGAAAAAUGUUGAUGUUAGAGUUUUUUUUUUUUUUGAAAACGUGCCUCAUUCUAAGUUGAUUUUAUAAUAAAAAAAAUACAAUUA